GGUUGCGAUCAUACCAGCACUAAUGCACCGGAUCCCAUCAGAACUCCGCAGUUAAGCGUGCUUGGGCGAGAGUAGUACUAGGAUGGGUGACCCCCUGGGAAGUCUCCGUGUUGCAACCC
rnacentral:rRNA from 1 species